rnacentral:snRNA from 1 species
GGAUGUGAGGGCAAUCUGGCUGCGACAUCUGUCAUCCCAUUGAUCACCAGGGUUUAUUCUGCUCUGGCUGGCUAGGCGGGUGUCCCCUUCCUCCCUCACCACUCCAUGUGCGUCCUUCCCUAAGCUGCUCGCUUUUUCAAAGAGGAAAGCCUUCCCCAAAUAGACCUUCGGUCAAGAGUAUACCAGUAGCUGUGCUCCCCUGCUAGAACCUCCAAACAAGCUCUCAAUCUAUUAUUAGAGAAUGAAAGAGUAACUCAUUCUUCAGAGUUGGCAUGUGAUUUACCUUGAGUUUAAAGUGUUUUUGAAGAUACUUAUUUGU